rnacentral:rRNA from 1 species
GAUGAACGCUGGCGGCGUGCUUAACACAUGCAAGUCGAACGGUGAAGGCGGAGCUUGCUCUGCUGGAUCAGUGGCGAACGGGUGAGUAACACGUGAGCAAUCUGCCCCUGACUCUGGGAUAAGCGCUGGAAACGGCGUCUAAUACUGGAUACGAGCUGCGAAGGCAUCUUCAGCAGCUGGAAAGAACUUCGGUCAGGGAUGAGCUCGCGGCCUAUCAGCUUGUUGGUGAGGUAACGGCUCACCAAGGCGUCGACGGGUAGCCGGCCUGAAAGGGUGACCGGCCACACUGGGACUGAGACACGGCCCAGACUCCUACGGGAGGCAGCAGUGGGGAAUAUUGCACAAUGGGCGAAAGCCUGAUGCAGCAACGCCGCGUGAGGGACGACGGCCUUCGGGUUGUAAACCUCUUUUAGCAGGGAAGAAGCGAAAGUGACGGUACCUGCAGAAAAAGCGCCGGCUAACUACGUG